ACUCCUACGGGAGGCAGCAGUGGGGAAUAUUGGACAAUGGGCGAAAGCCUGAUCCAGCCAUGCCGCGUGGGUGAAGAAGGCCUUCGGGUUGUAAAGCCCUUUUGUUGGGAAAGAAAUCCUGUCGGUUAAUACCCGGCGGGGAUGACGGUACCCAAAGAAUAAGCACCGGCUAACUUCGUGCCAGCAGCCGCGGUAAUACGAAGGGUGCAAGCGUUACUCGGAAUUACUGGGCGUAAAGCGUGCGUAGGCGGUUCGUUAAGUCUGUCGUGAAAGCCCUGGGCUCAACCUGGGAAUUGCGAUGGAUACUGGCGGGCUAGAGUACGGUAGAGGAUGGUGGAAUUCCCGGUGUAGCGGUGAAAUGCGUAGAGAUCGGGAGGAACACCCGUGGCGAAGGCGGCCAUCUGGACCAGUACUGACGCUGAGGCACGAAAGCGUGGGGAGCAAACAGGAUUAGAUACCCUGGUAGUC
rnacentral:rRNA from 1 species